UGCACGCUCGACGAGGAUAGCCGCCGAACCGCCACGGCGAUGCCGUGACGACCCGGACGACUGCACCUCGCCCCUUCUCGCGUUCUUGACCGCCUAGACCUUUCCCGCGAGCUCCGAGGCGUCCCCAUCCUUCUCUCCCUCCUUCCUGAGCGCGAGCGCCGAGCUCCGUUGUCCCUGUUGCCCGGGAACGGCUGUCGCCGCCACCAUGGCCGCCGCCCCCUCCUAGGCCGCCGCGGAGCUCACCCCUCCAGCCUCCCUCCGCCCCAAACGACCCCACAGCUAGCUCCCCGUCGCCGCUCUGAAGCUCCUGCACCCGGCCUCGCCUUGCUUCUUCCACCAGAACGCCGCCACCACGAAGCAGGGCCGCCGCCGCCCCUAGGCCACCGUCGAGCUCCCACCUCCGCCCUCCCACGGCUCCGAUUGGCCUCGGGAACGGCUUGCUUCUUCCACCAGAACGCCGCCACCACGAAGCAGGGCCGCCGCCGCCCCUAGGCCACCGUCGAGCUCCCACCUCCGCCCUCCCACGGCUCCGAUUGGCCUCGGGAACGGCUUCACCUCGCCCAACGGAGCUCCCAAGCCCAGCCAAGCCGCCUCCCUGCCGCCGGAGUAGCCCCGCCGCAGCGCAGGGCCACCGCCAGCCGCCGGCGCCUGUGGGCCGCCCUCCUCAGACCACCUCCGCCCCCACCAAGCACCUCUACUGGUACGAUAGAAGAACCGCGGGAAUGACGUGAUGAUGGAGUCGAGCCAGAAGACGGUGAAUGUGGACACGUCUAAAAGAUGGACGGAUGGAUCCCGAUGUGCACGACCGAAGGAAGAUGCUCGUUGAGAAAUUCUCCUCUAACUAACAAUGACCUAGUGUUAUUCCCAGGCAAGCCCCGGAGCAUAACCUAUUAUUUUAACUUAUGAAAUGUUAUAUAUAUAUUUACUUGAUUAUGCAUUAA